UACGUAGGGGGCAAGCGUUGUCCGGAAUCAUUGGGCGUAAAGCGCGCGUAGGCGGCCCUGUAAGUCCGUUGUGAAAGUCGAAGGCUCAACCUUCGAAAGCCGAUGGAUACUGCAGGGCUAGAGUCCGGAAGAGGCGACUGGAAUUCCUGGUGUAGCGGUGGAAUGCGCAGAUAUCAGGAGGAACACCGGUGGCGAAGGCGGGUCUCUGGGCUGUAACUGACGCUGAGGAGCGAAAGCGUGGGGAGCGAACAGG
rnacentral:rRNA from 1 species